AGCAGCCGCGGUAAUUCCAGCUCCAAUAGCGUAUAUUAAAGUUGUUGCAGUUAAAAAGCUCGUAGUUGAACUUCGGGGUUCACCCAUUGGUCAGGCUUAAUUGUCUGUACUGGUGAGAUGAGUCUCUACCUUCUGAGGAACUUUCAUGCCACUUAUUUGGUGUGAUUGGAAAUCAGGGCUGUUACUUUGAAAAAAUUAGAGUGUUUAAAGCAGGCUCACGCUUGAAUACAUUAGCAUGGAAUAAUGAAAUAGGACGUUCGACCCUAUUUUGUUGGUUUCUAGGAUCAACGUAAUGAUUAAUAGGGAUAGUUGGGGGCAUUAGUAUUCAAUUGUCAGAGGUGAAAUUCUUGGAUUUAUUGAAGACUAACUACUGCGAAAGCAUUUGCCAAGGAUGUUUUCAUUAAUCAAGAACGAAAGUUAGGGGAUCGAAGACGAUCAGAUACCGUCGUAGUCUUAACCAUAAACUAUGCCGACUAGGAUCGGAUGAUGUUAAUUUUUAAUUGUACUCAUUCGUCG
rnacentral:rRNA from 1 species